AUUGAACGCUGGCGGCAGGCCUAACACAUGCAAGUCGAGCGGAUGAAGGGAGCUUGCUCCUGGAUUCAGCGGCGGGCGGGUGAGUAAUGCCUAGGAAUCUGCCUGGUAGUGGGGGAUAACGUCCGGAAACGGGCGCUAAUACCGCAUACGUCCUGAGGGAGAAAGUGGGGGAUCUUCGGACCUCACGCUAUCAGAUGAGCCUAGGUCGGAUUAGCUAGUUGGUGGGGUAAAGGCCUACCAAGGCGACGAUCCGUAACUGGUCUGAGAGGAUGAUCAGUCACACUGGAACUGAGACACGGUCCAGACUCCUACGGGAGGCAGCAGUGGGGAAUAUUGGACAAUGGGCGAAAGCCUGAUCCAGCCAUGCCGCGUGUGUGAAGAAGGUCUUCGGAUUGUAAAGCACUUUAAGUUGGGAGGAGGGGCAGUAAGUUAAUACCUUGCUGUUUUGACGUUACCAACAGAAUAAGCACCGGCUAACUUCGUG
rnacentral:rRNA from 1 species